AUUGAACGCUGGCGGCGUGCUUAACACAUGCAAGUCGAGCGGAAAGGCCCUUCGGGGUACUCGAGCGGCGAACGGGUGAGUAACACGUGGGCAACCUGCCCCUCGCUCUGGGAUAACUCCGGGAAACCGGGGCUACUACCGGAUAUGACCCCUAUAGGCAUCUUUGAGGCUGGUAAGUUGUUCGGCGAGGGAUGGGCCCGCGGCCUAUCAGCUUGUGGGUGGGGUAAUGGACUAGCAAGGCAGUGACGGGUAGCCGGCCUGAGAGGGCGACCGGGCACACUGGGACUGAGAAACGGCCCAGACUCCUACGGGAGGCAGCAGUGGAGAAUAUUGCGCAAUGGGCGAAAGCCUGACGCAGCGACGCCGCGUGAGGAAUGACGGCCUUCGGGUUGUAAACCUCUUUCAGCAGGGACGAAGCGCAAGUGACGGUACCUGCAGAAGAAGCACCGGCCAACUACGUGCCAGCAGCCGCCGUAAAAC
rnacentral:rRNA from 1 species